rnacentral:rRNA from 1 species
CCUACGGGAGGCAGCAGUAGGGAAUAUUGCACAAUGGGGGAAACCCUGAUGCAGCGACGCCGCGUGAGUGAAGAAGUAAUUCGGUAUGUAAAGCUCUAUCAGCAGGGAAGAAAAUGACGGUACCUGAGUAAGAAGCCUUGGCUAACUACGUGACAGCAGCCGCGGUAAUACGUAGGGGGCAAGCGUUAUCCGGAUUUACUGGGUGUAAAGGGAGCGUAGACGGCAGUGCAAGUCUGGAGUGAAAGGCGGGGGCUCAACCCCCGGACUGCUCUAGAAACUGUACGGCUGGAGUGCAGGAGAGGUGAGUGGAAUUCCAAGUGUAGCGGUGAAAUGCGUAGAUAUUAGGAGGAACACCAGUGGCGAAGGCGGCUUACUGGACUGUAACUGACGUUGAGGCUCGAAAGCGUGGGGAGCAAACAGGAUUAGAUACCCGGGUAGUC